CUAGAUUAGCCAUGCAUGUCUAAGUAAAAAUUUAAUUAUGGUGAAACUGCGAAUGGCUCAUUACAACGGUUAUGAUAUCUCCCAGAUUUCCAAUGGAUAUUUCUAGUAACACUUGAGCUAAUACAUGUUAUAUGCAUUUAUUAGUUUCAAACAGAAUUUGUUGCUGAACCAUGAUAAAUUGUUGAUCGUAUUGAUUUCUGGGUAUAGUUUCCGUCCUAUCAGCUUUGAUGGUUGGGUAUUGGCCUACCAUUGCAACAACAGGUAACGAGGAAUUAGGGUUUGAUUUCGGAGAGGGAGCCUGAGAAACGGCUACCACAUCUACGGAUGGCAGCAGGCGCGCAAAUUACCCAAUGCAGAUAAUGUGAGGUAGUGACGAGAAAUAAUAAAGUAAUACUUUUGUAUCGCUAUAUAAUGAGAAAUAAUCAAAUAUCAUUCCUAUUAGCAACUGAUGGGAAAGUCUGGUGCCAGCAGCCGCGGUAAUACCAGCUUCAGUAGCAUAUAUUAAAAUUGUUGCGGUUAAAACGUCCGUAGUCUGUACAAUGUUUUAGGCCUUACUACUGUGCUAUUUAUUUUUCGGAAUGAUUAGUUACUUGUAGUUACUCCCUUGAUCAAAAUAGAUUGUUCAAGGUAGACCGAGUCGAUAUAAUUUCACAUGGAAUUGGGUGAAGGAACUUAAGAGGUUAAGUUUUUCGUUUUAGGAUCAGCUUGGGACAUUCGUACUCGCCUGCGAGAGGUGAAAUUCUUGGACCAGAUGAAGACGAUCAGCAGCGAAAGCAUCUGUCAGAGCUGUUUUCUGCGACAAAGGACGAAGGCCUGGGUAUCGAAGACGAUUAGAUACCGUCGUAGUCCGGGCUGUAAACUAUGCCAACUUGGAUCUUGCUAAGUGAACACUUUAUGAGAUCCAACCAGAAAUGAAAGUGUAUGGGUUCUGGGGGUAGUAUGGACACAAGUCUGAAACUUGAAGGAAUUGACGGAAGAGCACCAUCAGACGUGGAGCUUGCGGCUUAAUUUGACCCAACGCGGGAAAACUUACCAGGUCAAGACGUGGGCGUGAUUGACAGGCUAAUGACCUUUCUCGAUUCUUCGGUUGGUGGUGCAUGGUCGCACUUAGUUGGUGCAGUGAUUUGUCAGGUUUAUUCCGGUAACGAACGAGACCUCGGCCUAAUAAAUAGUUUAACUUCUUAUUGGGACAAUUUCGGCUACGUAAAGGAAGUUCGAGGCAAUUGCAGAUCUGGAAUGCCCUUAGAUGUCCUGGGUCGCACGCGUGCUACAAUGACAUCAUAAACAAGCUUAUGUGAUAAAAAUCAUGUAUAAUCAUUAAUAGAUGUCUUCAGGGACAGUCUCUUGUAACUGUGGGACUCGAACUAGGAAUGUCUCGUAAGCACAAGUCAACA
rnacentral:rRNA from 1 species